AAGAUCGUGGAACGCAUCAGAAGCGUUCUGUUGGAACGCCAGAUACUGUACAUUGAGUUCUUGAACCGCACAGGGUUCCGUCGAGCCAAUCAGAUGCAAGCAGGCGUGACUUCGAAUACCUUCAACCAAUCGUCGCGCAGUGGUCGCGGCUUCGCACCGGCGUUGUAAACAGUGUAAAGCAGGAGUCUGGAGAUGUGUAUAAAUAUCAGUGUGUCCCCAGUGCUGUCUUAUGAACUCAUGCCGCGCAUCAGCUGCUUGUAGACCGCACUGUUUCCCUGGAGCUGACGGCAAUCUGCUCACGCUACAGAAGCAGCUUUUCUCCCCUUGUGACCUUCAGCCUCAUGCACUGAACAGAUUUAGCAGUUUAUUUGUACAGUGAGGUGCCUUUAAACUCUGGACCAAACCAACAGUGCUGAAAAUGAAGAUCUGUGUUGCUUUUAUUGUAGUAGCUGUUCUUCACAUCGCUCAGUCUGGUGAGUUUCUGUCUCUCUUGCCCUGAUGUUUCACUUUAGUCACCAAGUGCUUCAGUUGCAUGACUUCUUGCAUAAAAAAAAAACAAACAAACAAAAAAAAGAAAAUAUGAGAUAAAAAAAAUAGAUAAAAUAAAGCAUUAAAAUAUAAGAUAAAACAUGAAAUAAAAUAAUAUAAAAAUAAAAUAAAAUAUUAAAUAUAAUGUAUAUUUAAACCCCAAUAGCUCAUUGUACUUUGAAAGCAUACUUUGAAUAAAGUAAAAUAUAAUUAAAUAUUAGUUUGUUUUGCAUAAUUUAUAUGUUGUUUCAAUGGCAUGACUUUUUGCAUUAAAUGAAAUAAAUCUUUUAAAUAAAAUUAUAAUUACAAUUUAAAAUAAAAAAUAAAGUAAAAUGAACAUUAUAANAAUAAAAUAAAAUAAAAUAAAAUAAAAUAAAAUAAAAUAAAAUAAAAUAAAAUGUUUCUUUGAAUAAUAGUUUAUUGUAAUUUGGAAGCAUAAAGUAUUCUUUGAAUAAAAUUAUAAAAUAUAAGUUAUGUAAUGAAAAAAACCUUUUAAUCUUUUUAAGAAAGUAUUUUAUUUUAGGAAUACUUAAAAAAAAAUUAUAAAAUAAAAUGAAAUUCCCUUUUUAUCUUCAAAAUACAGUUUCUGACAUAUUAACAUAACCUUGUGUUUUAUAGCCUUAGUUGCAUAAUUUCUCUUCCCUAAAAUUAUUAGUUGCCCUUUCUGUCUGUCAUCCCUCUGUUAUCUGCUGUCACUUUACAAGCUGAAUUGUGACACUGCCUGAUGUACAGUAUUAGAGAUUAGCUAGCAUGUGGCCAUCCAAAAUAUACCGGCUUCUUUUCAGUCUCAUUUUAAUCCAUCCAACAGAGAGACCGCAUGACUAAGAGUCUUGUUACAGAAGAAGGCUCUUGGAUUUAGUUCGUCAAACCCACAGAAGCCCUUUGAGAAUUUUUUUCCACCGUGUUUCGUUCUAGUCCAGCAAACUUAGUUUUAUGCCAAAACCCAACAGCACAAUCUGUAUCUUUACAGGCCCGGAAAUGUAGUGCAUUUCUUCUCCUUUCAGCGUUGCUCAGCAAAGUAGCUUUACUGUAAUUUAACAAACCGAAGUUGCUUUCAGACCUUGUACUUGGAAAUGUGAUUUGCAGUUCUAAAAAAGCAGCAUGGCCUUCCACAUUAAAAGUCAAAAUGAAUGAAUUCUAAAGUAGAUGGUCAUAAUGGUUGCAUGAUUCAAUGCAAUCACAUAAAUCCAUGCAAAAACAUGUUUUAUGUGCAUUUAGAAUGAGAUCACUCUUUUGGGUUUGUGGUAUUUCCAGCAAUGCCUUUGAGCUAGUGGAUUCCUCUGGGAAAAUCUGCAUUUGAACUUAAAAGACACAAAGCGUGAUGGCUUUUCUCAAUUUUAUUUUGCGGCAUGGAUUCUGUGUAUAUUGUAAAGGCUGGCGAUGAGAUUAAUGUAUCACUUCAGGACAGCUAGUUAGUGGUCACAUAAAAGCAUUUGUUUGAAGUGACAGGCUACUGUGUUUUCUUUGAUUGUGUCAUUCUCUGAGAGCUGAGCUCAGGAUGAUUGGGGUAAUUUAUUAAAGGCCGCUUUAUCUAAUAGUUGCUUUGUUGUUCUUUCAUUGCCUGUCCCUUUAGUUAGCUACACUUCCAGCUUUUUUAUGUAAAGAAAAAAGUUUAUAUUUUUCAAAACAGAUUUUUACUUACAUAUUCACAUUGUGAAACUGAUAUUUUUGAAAUUUGUGUGUGUGUGUGGUUUUUAAGCCUAGCAAACUGCCUAUGAAAACAACUUUGUGACAAAAGUGAGAGAAAGCUGCUAAUAAGUACUUCUAAAUGAAUGAAUAACAAAAUAUAGAGGAGCAUUUGAUUGUUGUGUAUGCAAUCGAACAUGUAGAUGAGUUUGUUUCUUCAUCUGAACAGAUUUGGAGAAAUUUAGGCAUUAUAUCACCAAUGGAUCCUCUGCAGUGAAUGGGUGCCGUCAGAAUGAGAGUCCAAACAGCUGAUAAAAACAUCACAACAGUCCAUCAAUUAAUGUCUUGUGAUGUGAAAAGUGUUUUUCAAGAAACAAAACCAUCAUUAAGAUGUUUUUAAGUUUAAGCUCUCACUUUUGUGGCCAAAAUAUAAUCCAUAAUGACACUUGCUCCAGUGAAAAAGUCCAUCUCUAAUUUUCCUCUAAAUCAAAAUCCGAGAACAUAUUUGUUUGGAACUGAUUUGGACUGUUUUUCGCUUGUAAACAGUGUGCAUAUUUCUCUCUUGAUUCAGAUGAGAUGACUGUUCACUGUAGAAAGCAAUAUUACACAUAUAGAGAACCCGUAUUUUGGAUGCCACAGUUUGAACUUGGAAAUGUCUUAAAGGGUUAGUUCACCCAAAAAUUAAAAUUCUGUCAUUAAUUCCUCACCCUCAUGUCGUUUCAAACCCGAAAGACCUUCGUUCAUCUUCGGAACACAAAUUAAGAUAUUUUUGAUGGAAUCUGAG
ensembl:lncRNA